rnacentral:tRNA from 1 species
GCCUUCGUUGUGUAGUGGUCAGCACGCUCGACGCGCAUUCGAGAGGUCCGUGGUUCGAGUCCCGGCGAGGACA